CACGUAGGGGACGAGCGUUGUCCGGAAUUACUGGGCGUAAAGGGCGCGCAGGCUGUAGAUCAAGUCAGCUGUGAAAUGUCUGGGCUUAACCCGGGCAUGCGGUUGAAACUGAUGUACUGGAGUGCUGUAGAGGCAAGUGGAAUUCCCAGUGUAGCGGUGAAAUGCGUAGAUAUUGGGAAGAACACCAGUGGCGAAGGCGACUUGCUGGGCAGCAACUGACGCUGAGGCGCGAAAGCCAGGGGAGCAAACGGGAUUA
rnacentral:rRNA from 1 species